GCGGCAUGCCUAACACAUGCAAGUCGAACGGAAACGAUGGGAGCUUGCUCCCAGGCGUCGAGUGGCGGACGGGUGAGUAAUACUUAGGAAUCUACCCAGUAGCGGGGGACAACUCGAGGAAACUCGAGCUAAUACCGCAUACGCCCUACGGGGGAAAGCAGGGGAUCUUCGGACCUUGCACUAUUGGAUGAGCCUAAGUCGGAUUAGCUUGUUGGUGAGGUAAAGGCUCACCAAGGCGACGAUCCGUAGCUGGUCUGAGAGGACGAUCAGCCACACUGGGACUGAGACACGGCCCAGACUCCUACGGGAGGCAGCAGUGGGGAAUAUUGGACAAUGGGGGCAACCCUGAUCCAGCAAUGCCGCGUGUGUGAAGAAGGCCUGCGGGUUGUAAAGCACUUUCAGUAGAGAAGAAAAGCCUACGGUUAAUACCCGUGAGUCUUGACGUUACCUACAGAAGAAGCUCCGGCUAACUCCGUGCCAGCAGCCGCGGUAAUACGGAGGGAGCGAGCGUUAAUCGGAAUCACUGGGCGUAAAGCGUGCGUAGGCGGCUUUGUAAGUCGGAUGUGAAAGCCCUGGGCUCAACCUGGGAAUGGCAUUCG
rnacentral:rRNA from 1 species